AUGACAGUUGCAAGAGAAGAAUCAUGGUGCGGGGAGGGAAAGCUGUUAACAGUUUAAUUGAUAUUCUUUCCUGAAGAGGAAUGGAGACUAGUUGAAAGUCCAACAGAGAAUGGAAGGGAGUUCCACAGGAACUGUGCAGCCCUGAAGAAGUCUUGAAGGCGAGCAUCAGAGGAUAGAUCUUUGGCUUAGGGGCCUAGAUGAGACAUAGUUGUGUAUUAGGGAGG